CCUGUGACUUUGCUUGCGGCGUGAAGCACACAGCAAGACUGGAGCAGCAAGAAGAUUCAAUGAGCAGCUCAGGAGAAGAUUCAGCGAAGAAUGGAUAUAUGAAAGUUUUUCAAGAAGCUUAUUAUUAAUCAUCACUGCUGGUAGUAACAAUUAGUUAGCUCCAGCCCCCAGCUAACAGCAUAAAGUCCCUUGUAAUUAAUGAACCAAGUGCUCCCUGUUUAAAAACCUGGCCUGCACUCCGUAUGAAAGAGUCAGGACAGAUGAGCAUAGAGAGUGAAAAGGGAGCGACCUCUUCUGGAAAGGGUCAGGCAGAAGGAGAUGCAGAGGGAGGAACAGAUCAACAGGCAAGGUCAAGUCAGACACAGCAAGGAGAUACAGAGAUGGAUCAAGAGGCAGCGGAAGAUCAAAGUUCAAGAGAGGGAAAAUGAUGAAGGAGAAGCAGCUCACUCCACUCCAGGGUUCGAUUUAGGCGACAAAGACACAGGACCCAGACAGGUGGAGCUGAAGAGCGACCCACUCGAUAGUUUUGGUACACAGAAGUGAGCAUUUCACCACAGCUGGUUUGAAAAGCACAACUGGUUAGAAUAUUCAGUCAACCAGAAUACAGCUUUCUGCUUCUCAUGUAGAGUGUUUGGCAAAAACAUCAAACAUGAUAGUCUGGUCAGUAGUGGUUGCAAGAACUGGAAGAAAGCUUUAGUCAUCUUUGGCAAACAUGAGACAGCCCAAACACACACGGACUGUUGUUUCAUGGAAAAGCUACCAGGCAACCAGCAUUCAGGGAAACGUUGCACAGAUGAUAGCAUCUGCAAAUGCGAAUGAGAUAAUAGAGAGAAGAGAGUAUCUCAGGUGAAUUGUUGCAGUCACUUCUAUGUUAGGGAGACAGGGACUCCCUUUUCGUGGCCAUGAUGAAGGUAGAGAAAGCAUAAACAGAAGGAAUUUUCUUGCUUGCAUGGAGCUUUUGAAUGAAUUUGAUCUUUUUCUUCAAAAACAUAACCCUCCAUCAAAUCCUCAGUAUAUCUCAGCAACAUCCCAGAAUGAGAUGAUUGACUGUUGUGCCAAGGAAGUUAAUAGUCUCUUUUUAUCUGAAAUGACAUAGUCCAAAAUCUAUGCCAUCGUGGCAGAUGAGGCAAGGGAUGAAAAAUCAGAGCAGUUAGCUGUAUGUGUCAGAGAGGGCAGUGAAGGAACGUUUCCUAGCACUUGCAGAGAUAAAAACAUUUGAUGCCCAGUCCAUUGUAAAUAAGCUGCAGCAGCAGAUUCAAAAUAAUGGUCUUGCAGGGCUUAAGUGUGUAGCACAAACAUAUGAUGGUGCAGCUGUCCUGAGUGGGUCCACUGGAGGUGUACAAACAUUUCAGAAGGCUCCAUCCUGAAGCUAUCUAUGUGCAUUGUUAUGCUCAUGAACUUAACCUGGUGUUGUGCCACACAUGAAAGGCCAUCCCAGAGGCUGUGGAGAUUUUCAGGCUGUUGGAGUGUUUGUACUCUUUCUUCAGCACCUCCCUGGUGAAGUUCAUGGAGGCUCAGACAAGACUUAGAUUGACAAGGGUUGAGCUUGUGCAACUUUCAAACACCCACUGGGAAAGUCAGUUGCGAUAAGUUCAGUUCUUGAGACUUUGUCCACCAUCUUUUGAGUGUCUUUCUGCUAUUAGAUCCCCCACAGCUCUUGGUCUGAGAGCAAAGCUCUAUAAGUUCUCAGCAGUCUAUGCACUACUGAUGUUUCAGUCACUUCUGUCUGUAACUGAAGGACUCCACAAGCUCCGUCAGGAAGAGACUUUAGACCUGGCAGAAGGUUUGAUCUGCAAACAAGCAGUGUGUGACACACUUGAGGGAAAACGCACAGACGCAUUUGCCACGGAGCUGUAUAAGAGAACCAAAGCCCUGUGCCACACCCACAGUAUCUCUGAACCAGGUGCCUAGACAAGGCAUAAAAAGAGGAAAACGGAGGAUUAUGUGCUGGAGGCAUCCGCAGGUUUACGUACUGAAUUGAACAACUCAGACACAUUGAAAAAAGAGUUACUUUUCCCUUGUGAGGAUAGGAUGGUUGGUGAGCUUGAGCAAAGAUUUUGCAGUGUAGAUGUACGGCUACUAACAGGCAUCCAGGCAUGCAGUCCUAAAUCUGAGAACUUCUUGAGUGAAUCACACUUGAAUGAAUUUGCAAAACACUACUGCAAUGAUCUGAAAACAGAGGAGGUUCUGGUGGCCAGAAACGUUCUUGCUUCGAAAGCAGAGGCUGGAUGUUCACCCACAGAUAUGUUGUCUGUGCACAACCUCCUUGAUUCAGUCAUGUUUCCCUCUCUGAAGGCAACCAUCCAAGUUGCCCUGACAGUGCCUGUAAGCAGCUGUUCAUGUGAAAGGUCCUUUAGUGCACUGCGUCAGCUGCACUCCUGGCUGCAUCAGAAAAGACUUCACAGUCUUGCAGUCAUGUCAAUUGAAAAAGAUUUGCUUCAGCAUCUGAGUCACAACAGAGUGAUCGAGAGAUUUGCAACCCUUAAAAACAGACUCCAUUCUUUGAUGCUUCCACCCACAAAGUAACUGGCAAUAGUCGUCCUGUUAUUUAAAAAUGAUGUACUUUGUGACAACACAGUGCUCUUUGCAUACAAUUUUGUAUAAUACAUGUGGGCUCUUAAUGAAUAAGAAGUAUUUGUAAAAUAUGGCACUGUAACAAUAUGUGGAUUUUUUUCUUGUUGUUAAUGCUGUAAACAUACUUCCUGUGUUUGUUGUGCUGCAUUAAAAACCUAAUGGUUGCUUAAAACUUUUACACA